UAGUCCACGCCGUAAACGAUGUCUGCUAGCCGUCGGGGUACUUGGUACUUCGGUGGCGCCGCUAACGCAUUAAGCAGACCGCCUGGGGAGUACGGUCGCAAGAUUAAAACUUAAAGGAAUUGACGGGGGCCCGCACAAGCAGUGGAACAUGUGGUUUAAUUCGAAGCAACGCGCAGAACCUUACCAGCCUUUGACAUCCUAGGACGGUUUCUGGAGACAGAUUCCUUCCCUUCGGGGACCUAGUGACAGGUGCUGCAUGGCUGUCGUCAGCUCGUGUCGUGAGAUGUUGGGUUAAGUCCCGCAACGAGCGCAACCCUCAUCCUUAGUUGCCAUCAUUUAGUUGGGCACUUUAAGGAAACUGCCGGUGAUAAGCCGGAGGAAGGUGGGGAUGACGUCAAGUCCUCAUGGCCCUUACAGGCUGGGCUACACACGUGCUACAAUGGUAUCUACAGUGAGCAGCGAUCCCGCAAGGGUCAGCUAAUCUCCAAAAGNUAUCUCAGUUCGGAUUGUUCU
rnacentral:rRNA from 1 species